rnacentral:lncRNA from 1 species
UCUCCUGCCUCCCUUCCUCCCCAACCUCCCCUGCCUUCCCGUGCCUUCUCUGCCUCUCCUGCCUCCCCAGCCUCCCCCUGCCUUCCCGUGCCUUCUCUGCCUCUCCUGCCUCCCCAGCCUCCCCUGCCUCCCCUUCGUCCCCAGCCUCCCGAGCCUCCCAGCCUGCCCUACCUGCCUCUCCUGCCUCCCCAGCCUCCCCAGCCUCCCCUGCCUCCCCUUCCUCCACAGCCUCCCCAGCCUCCCUUGCCUCCCCUGCCUCUCCAGCCUCGCCAGCCUCCCUUGCCUCCCCUGCCUCUCCAGCCUCCCCAGCCUCCCCUACCUCCUCAGCCUCCCCAGCCUCCCCUGCCUCCCCAGCCUCCCCUGCUUCCCCUGCCUCCCCAGCCUCCCAACAUCCCCUACCUCCUCAGCCUCCCCAGCCUCCCCUGCCUCCUGCCUCCCCAGCCUCCUGCCUCCUCAGCCUCCCCUGCCUCCCCAGCCUCCCCUACCUCCCCAGCCUCCCAACAGCCCCUACCUCCUCAGCCUCCCCAGCCUCCCCUGCCUCCUGCCUUCCCAGCCUCCCCUGCCUCCCCAGCCUCCCCUGCCUCCUCUGCCUCUCCUGCCUCCCCAGCCUCCUGCCUCCCUUCCUCCACAGCCUCCCCUGCCUCCCCGUGCCUCCUCUGCCUCUCCUGCCUCCCCAGCCUCCCCAGCCUCCCCUACCUCCUCAGCCUCCCCUGCCUCCCCUGCCUCCCCUGCCUCCCCAGCCUCCCCUGCCUCCCCUGCCUCCCAUGCCUCCCCAGCCUCCCCUGCCUCCCCUGCCUCCCCUGCCUCCCCUGCCUCCCUUCCUCCACAGCCUCCCCAGCCUCCUGCCUCCCCAGCCUCCUGCCUCCCCAGCCUCCCCUGCCUCCUGCCUCCUGCCUCCCUGCCUCCCUUCUUCCCCAGCCUCCUGCCUCCCCUGCCUCCCCAGCCUCCCCAGCCUCCCCUGCCUCCUGCCUUCCCAGCCUCCCCUGCCUCCCCUGCCUCCCCUGCCUCCCCAGCCUCCCCUGCCUCCCCUGCCUCCCUUCUUCCCCAGCCUCCCCAGCCUCCUUGCCUCCCCUGCCUCUCCAGCCUCCCCAGCCUCCUCUGCCUCUCCAGCCUCCCCAGCCUCCUCAGCCUCUCCAGCCUCCCCAGCCUCCUCAGCCUCCUCAGCCUCCCCAGCCUCCCUGCUUCCUGCCUCCCCAGCCUCCCUGCCUCCCCUGCCUCCCUGACUCCCCAGCCUCCUGCCUCCCCUGCCUCCCUUCUUCCCCAGCCUCCCCAGCCCCUUGCCUCCCCUGCCUCUCCAGCCUCCCCAGCCUCCCUUGCCUCCCCUGCCUCCAGCCUCCCCAGCCUCCCCAGUCUCCCCAGCCUCCCCAGCCUCCUCAGCCUCCCCAGCCUCCCUGCUUCCUGCCUCCCCAGCCCCUGCCUCCCUGACUCCCCAGCCUCCCCAGCCUCCUGCCUCCCCAGCCUCCCCUACCUCCCCAGCCUCCCAACAGCCCCUACCUCCUCAGCCUCCCCAGCCUCCCUGCCUCCCCUGCCUUCCCAGCCUCCCUGCCUCCCCAGCCUCCCCAGCCUCCUGCCUCCCUGCCUCCAGCCUCCCCAGCCUCCUGCCUCCCCAGCCUGCCCUGCCUCCCCAGUCUCCUCUGCCUCUCCUGCCUCCCCAGCCUCCCUGCCUCCGCUUGCUCCCCAGCCUCCCCAGCCUCCCCAGCCUCCCCUACCUCCUCAGCCUCCCCAGCCUCCCUGCUUCCCCUGCCUCCCCAGCCUCCCAACAUCCCCUACCUCCUCAGCCUCCCCAGCCUCCCUGCCU